UUGUGUACUUCGGUAUGCAUCUCAAUUGGACCUGAUAUCAGGCAAGAUUACCCGCUGAACUUAAGCAUAUUAAUAAGCGGAGGAAAAGAAACUAACAAGGAUUCCCCUAG
rnacentral:rRNA from 1 species